CCUCCGGGAGGCAGCAGUGAGGAAUAUUGGUCAAUGGACGCAAGUCUGAACCAGCCAUGCCGCGUGCAGGAAGACGGCCCUAUGAGUUGUAAACUGCUUUUGUACGGGGGUAAACGCUGAUAUGCGUACCUGUCUGAAAUUAUCUUACGAAUAAGGAUCGGCUAACUCCGUGCCAGCAGCCGCGGUAAUACGGAGGAUUCAAGCGUUAUCCGGAUUUAUUGGGUUGAAAGUGUGCGUAGGCGGUCGGAUAAGUUAGAGGUGAAAUCCCGGGGCUCAACUUCGGAACUGCAUCUGAUACUGUUCGGCUAGAGAGUAGUUGAGGUAGGCGGAAUGCAAGGUGUAGCGGUGAAAUGCUUAGAGAUCA
rnacentral:rRNA from 1 species